UUCUUUUUUUUUAUUUUAUUUUUUUGCAUCUUAAUUAGUUAAUAUAAUAGCAGCAAUUUAGAGUGCCAUACAAGUCCAAAAUGCACAACACUUCAAAUGAGUUAUCAAGUAGAGGCCACACCUACUAAUUCAAGCAUUAAAGAAAAUCUAUAAUUAUAUUAUUCUUGAUAAUGUUAGCCAAGGGAGGGAGAUCUGUAAAAAUUUGUUCAUAGCCUUGGUGAAAUAUCAAUCCAUCAAUAUCAUAUUGCAUGAGAUAUGCCGAAUUAUGCAUUCGGCCUGGUUUUACAUAAUUGAAUAGUUUCUUAUAAGUUAAAACUUGGCAGAAAACAAAACUUUACAAAACAACACUAUCACAAACAUACAAAUAUGCCACGUAAUUGCUGACUGACGAUUUCAACAAAGCACAAAAAGCUCAUAUACAGUUACUGAUCUAAUUGAGAAAACAGAUUCCAGAUAAAUUUUUAUUUUCAAACCGAAAAAAUAAUUAAAAAAUAUAGAGACUAAC
rnacentral:misc_RNA from 1 species